rnacentral:rRNA from 1 species
GACGAACGCUGGCGGCGUGCUUAACACAUGCAAGUCGAACGGAAAGGCCCUGCUUUUGUGGGGUGCUCGAGUGGCGAACGGGUGAGUAACACGUGAGUAACCUGCCCUUGACUUUGGGAUAACUUCAGGAAACUGGGGCUAAUACCGGAUAGGAGCUCCUGCUGCAUGGUGGGGGUUGGAAAGUUUCGGCGGUUGGGGAUGGACUCGCGGCUUAUCAGCUUGUUGGUGGGGUAGUGGCUUACCAAGGCUUUGACGGGUAGCCGGCCUGAGAGGGUGACCGGCCACAUUGGGACUGAGAUACGACCCAGACUCCUACGGGAGGCAGCAGUGGGGAAUAUUGCACAAUGGGCGGAAGCCUGAUGCAGCAACGCCGCGUGCGGGAUGACGGCCUUCGGGUUGUAAACCGCUUUCGCCUGUGGCGAAGCGUGAGUGACGGUAAUGGGUAAAGAAGCACCGGCUAACUACGUG